CCGUCCCCAGCUUGGACCGUCUUGGCCCGGCAUAGCCGGAGGCUUUAAGCAUCUGGGCGAGCGCUCUCUUAAGGAAAUGCUGCCACAGACGGCUAGUCAAGAUUUAAAAGAUUUUAAUUGUCACUUUCGUUGGCUUUUUUCAGUCACCAGGCGAAAUUUCAAAAAUGUUAAUACAAAAUUAAUGCGCUCAAAAAAUAAAUGAGCAUUGUGCAAGCGACUCGUAUUUUUAUAUAUAGGUGUUGAUGUUGGCGUUUGGCAUUGCAAAUGCAACUCGUAAUUCAAUUGACAAAGUGCAUCCACUUAUCAUGCGAUUUAAUGUAAGUUUUAUGCAAAACCUAAGAGACGUCUUAGAAUCCGAGUCUCAAUUAGGAAUCACUGGGACCAGUUACAGCUUAGCCUUGAGCCAGUUUAAUCCGGCACUAAGAAGAUGACGUCGGAGCUGGCUAAGUAAACCAGCUAAUCUAUUGCAUUGAGCAAUGAUUUUGAAUGGAUUAGCUGAAUGCCCGCGACUGGAAUUCGCUGUUGAAUCACAAUCCGGACCGGUUGCAUUCAACUGUUACUAAAGUUAUUAACGUCGAAUUCAAAUCGAAUUCAUUUACUAAUUGGUCAAGUGUUAAAUGAAACGAUUUGCUCGAUUUAUGCUGUAUCCAGUUGCGCCACAAUGGAUCUAUUACUACAUUAAGCUGGCGUUAAUCAAGCAAAACAUGUGUAUAAUGAGUCGUAUACGUGAUAAAAACCAAACGCGAUCAUAAAAUGGGGGUGUGCGACAUUAAUGACAUUCUUUACUCUGAAAGUACUGAAAGUAAAACAAGUUCAACAAACUGUUUAUACAGUUAUCGGCCCAGAAGUCGACUUUAAGAUUUUCAUAAAAUAAACAGCCUCAAGCUUAUGAGUAAGCCGCAAUAAGCUCUUCAUAUAAUAUACGAAAGCUUAAUCAAAAAGCUUAACGCUUUCGAUCUUUACCUUAAAGCUUUUUGAUCUUGGUUCAAUUGGUCAGCGGAAACAGCCGGAAGAAAGCUUUCAAUGGCCAAUUAAGAUACACAAAUGGGCCAGUCAAACAGUUCAUCAGCAACAAAAAAAACGAGACUCACUUAUAUAAGAAAACAGUUGCAAAUUUGCUGACCGUAAAAAAGUUGUUGCUGGCUGCAGCACAGAGCGAGUAAACCUGAGAAGAGCGGAAAUCUGCAACCACGCUAACUUUUUAACUAUUGUCAUUUAUUUCAAUACACAAAUUCAAUGUUCGGCUUAAAUGUAACCGCGCUCAAUUGGCCAUGAAUUAUUGCAGCAAUAACGAAAUAAAAAAUGCUUAAGAAAUAUUCAAAUAAAUUA